rnacentral:misc_RNA from 1 species
AACGCACAUUGCGCCCCUUGGUAUUCCAUGGGGCAUGCCUGUUCGAGCGUCAUCUAAACCCUCAAGCCUCUUGGUGUUGCCCUGCCUCUGGCAAGGGCUCCGCCUGGCUUGGUGUUGGGCGCCUGUCCCCGCUCUCCGCGCGGACUCGCCCCGAAUGCAUUGGCAGCGGCCUCCCGGCUCCUCGCGCAGCACAGCGCUCAGAGGGGCGCGGCCCGGCGCGCGUCCAGCAAGCGAACCUCCAAGUUUGACCUCGGAUCAGGUAGGGAUACCCGCUGAACUUAA